rfam:Gossypium hirsutum cultivar TM-1 chromosome 17, whole genome shotgun sequence
UAUUAACUUUUAUCCAUUUGUACGGUUAAAAACCGGCAUGGUUGACGGAGUAACCAAAUAAUGGCAUGUAGCAUAUCACACGUCUCAUGCUGACGUACAAAGAUCAAUUUUUAAAUGUAGAAAUAGAUGAAAUUUUUAAUA